rnacentral:rRNA from 1 species
GCAGCCGCGGUAAUACGUAGGGUGCAAGCGUUAAUCGGAAUUACUGGGCGUAAAGCGUGCGCAGGCGGUUGUGCAAGACAGAUGUGAAAUCCCCGGGCUUAACCUGGGAAUGGCAUUUGUGACUGCACGGCUAGAGUGUGUCAGAGGGGGGUAGAAUUCCACGUGUAGCAGUGAAAUGCGUAGAUAUGUGGAGGAAUACCGAUGGCGAAGGCAGCCCCCUGGGAUAACACUGACGCUCAUGCACGAAAGCGUGGGGAGCAAACAGGAUUAGAUACCCUGGUAGUCCACGCCCUAAACGAUGUCAACUAGUUGUCGGGUCUUAAUUGACUUGGUAACGCAGCUAACGCGUGAAGUUGACCGCCUGGGGAGUACGGUCGCAAGAUUAAAACUCAAAGGAAUUGACGGGGACCCGCACAAGCGGUGGAUGAUGUGGAUUAAUUCGAUGCAACGCGAAAAACCUUACCUACCCUUGACAUGUCAGGAACCCUGCUGAGAGGUGGGGGUGCUCGAAAGAGAACCUGAACACAGGUGCUGCAUGGCUGUCGUCAGCUCGUGUCGUGAGAUGUUGGGUUAAGUCCCGCAACGAGCGCAACCCUUGUCAUUAGUUGCUACGAAAGGGCACUCUAAUGAGACUGCCGGUGACAAACCGGAGGAAGGUGGGGAUGACGUCAAGUCCUCAUGGCCCUUAUGGGUAGGGCUUCACACGUCAUACAAUGGUACAUACAGAGGGCCGCCAACCCGCGAGGGGGAGCUAAUCCCAGAAAGUGUAUCGUAGUCCGGAUUGUAGUCUGCAACUCGACUACAUGAAGUUGGAAUCGCUAGUAAUCGCGGAUCAGCAUGUCGCGG